UCAGGACGAACGCUGGCGGCGUGCCUAAUACAUGCAAGUCGAACGAACUCUGGUAUUGAUUGGUGCUUGCAUCAUGAUUUACAUUUGAGUGAGUGGCGAACUGGUGAGUAACACGUGGGAAACCUGCCCAGAAGCGGGGGAUAACACCUGGAAACAGAUGCUAAUACCGCAUAACAACUUGGACCGCAUGGUCCGAGUUUGAAAGAUGGCUUCGGCUAUCACUUUUGGAUGGUCCCGCGGCGUAUUAGCUAGAUGGUGGGGUAACGGCUCACCAUGGCAAUGAUACGUAGCCGACCUGAGAGGGUAAUCGGCCACAUUGGGACUGAGACACGGCCCAAACUCCUACGGGAGGCAGCAGUAGGGAAUCUUCCACAAUGGACGAAAGUCUGAUGGAGCAACGCCGCGUGAGUGAAGAAGGGUUUCGGCUCGUAAAACUCUGUUGUUAAAGAAGAACAUAUCUGAGAGUAACUGUUCAGGUAUUGACGGUAUUUAACCAGAAAGCCACGGCUAACUACGUGCCAGCAGCCGCGGUAAUACGUAGGUGGCAAGCGUUGUCCGGAUUUAUUGGGCGUAAAGCGAGCGCGGGCGGUUUUUUAAGUCUGAUGUGAAAGCCUUCGGCUCAACCGAAGAAGUGCAUCGGAAACUGGGAAACUUGAGUGCAGAAGAGGACAGUGGAGCUCCAUGUGUAGCGGUGAAAUGCGUAGAUAUAUGGAAGAACACCAGUGGCGAAGGCGGCUGUCUGGUCUGUAACUGACGCUGAGGCUCGAAAGUAUGGGUAGCAAACAGGAUUAGAUACCCUGGUAGUCCAUACCGUAAACGAUGAAUGCUAAGUGUUGGAGGGUUUCCGCCCUUCAGUGCUGCAGCUAACGCAUUAAGCAUUCCGCCUGGGGAGUACGGCCGCAAGGCUGAAACUCAAAGGAAUUGACGGGGGCCCGCACAAGCGGUGGAGCAUGUGGUUUAAUUCGAAGCUACGCGAAGAACCUUACCAGGUCUUGACAUACUAUGCAAAUCUAAGAGAUUAGACGUUCCCUUCGGGGACAUGGAUACAGGUGGUGCAUGGUUGUCGUCAGCUCGUGUCGUGAGAUGUUGGGUUAAGUCCCGCAACGAGCGCAACCCUUAUUAUCAGUUGCCAGCAUUAAGUUGGGCACUCUGGUGAGACUGCCGGUGACAAACCGGAGGAAGGUGGGGAUGACGUCAAAUCAUCAUGCCCCUUAUGACCUGGGCUACACACGUGCUACAAUGGAUGGUACAACGAGUUGCGAACUCGCGAGAGUAAGCUAAUCUCUUAAAGCCAUUCUCAGUUCGGAUUGUAGGCUGCAACUCGCCUACAUGAAGUCGGAAUCGCUAGUAAUCGCGGAUCAGCAUGCCGCGGUGAAUACGUUCCCGGGCCUUGUACACACCGCCCGUCACACCAUGAGAGUUUGUAACACCCAAAGUCGGUGGGGUAACCUUUUAGGAACCAGCCGCCUAAGGUGGG
rnacentral:rRNA from 1 species